UUCUGGGCUACAGUGGACUAUGUUGAGCGGGUGUCCACGCUAAGUUCGGUAUCGAUAUGGUGCUCCUAGUGGAGCUUGGGACUACCAGGUUGUCUAAGGAGGGGUGAACCGGCCCAGGUCGGAGACGGAGCAGGUCAAAUCCCAUGUGCCGAUCAGUAGUGGGAUCGCGCCUGUGAAUAGACACUGCAGUGCAG
rnacentral:SRP_RNA from 1 species